AUUGAACACUGGCGGCAGGCCUAACACAUGCAAGUCGAACGAGUGGCGGACGGGUGAGUAACGUCUGGGAAACUGCCUGAUGGUGGGGGAUAACUAUCGGAAACGGUAGCUAAUACCGCAUACCAUUCGAUCUGCCCAGGUGGGAUUGGCUUGUUGGUGGGGUAACGGCUCACCAAGGCGACGAUCCCUAGCGGGUCUGAGAGGAUGACCAGCCACACGGGGACUGAGACACGGUCCAGACUCCUACGGGAGGCAGCAGUGGGGAAUAUUGGACAAUGGGCGCAAGCCUGAUGCAGCCAUGCCGCGUGUAUGAAGAAGGCCUUCGGGUUGUAAAGUACUUUCGGCAGGGAGGCGUUACCCGCAGAAGAAGCACCGGCUAACUCCGUGCCAGCAGCCGCGGUAAUAC
rnacentral:rRNA from 1 species